rnacentral:rRNA from 1 species
GACGAACGCUGGCGGCGUGCUUAACACAUGCAAGUCGAACGGAAAGGCCCUGCUUUUGUGGGGUGCUCGAGUGGCGAACGGGUGAGUAACACGUGAGUAACCUGCCCUUGACUUUGGGAUAACUUCAGGAAACUGGGGCUAAUACCGGAUAGGAGCUCCUGCUGCAUGGUGGGGGUUGGAAAGUUUCGGCGGUUGGGGAUGGACUCGCGGCUUAUCAGCUUGUUGGUGGGGUAGUGGCUUACCAAGGCUUUGACGGGUAGCCGGCCUGAGAGGGUGACCGGCCACAUUGGGACUGAGAUACGGCACAGACUCCUACGGGAGGCAGCAGUGGAGAAUAUUGCACAAUGGGCGGAAGCCUGAUGCAGCAACGCCGCGUGCGGGAUGACGGCCUUCGGGUUGUAAACCGCUUUCGCCUGUGACGAAGCGUGAGUGACGGUAAUGGGUAAAGAAGCACCGGCUAACUACGUG